ACCACAGCUGCGGGCCGGGUCUUGCCUCUCCCAGGGGCCUGUGGGUGACAGAAAGGGCGGGAGGGGAAUGGCAGCAACUUGAGUGGGUGCUGCAGGUGUCCUCCUGUCAGCAGUGCCUCAGGGUUACACCUCAAGCCACCCUGCUUCCUCUGGGACUGUAUCAACAGUCCCCAAACACCCUACCUCUGGCAGGUAUUCUUUCUGGGGUCUGCUCAGAGAUGGCGGACACUGCCUUGUGCUCCCAGUGCUGGCACUGUCCUGUCCCACCUCUUCACAGGAAGGUGGCUUCUUCUGCCUCCUCACCUUGAUGGCUCACCCUGUGAAAGGCCAGGGGCCUCCUCAGCUGCUCACUGAGCAGUAGCCACCCCAUGCUGGCUGGUCACAUCAUCAAAAUGGCCAAAAGCUUCAUCCUGGGGACCCUGCUCCUGUGGUGGUGGCCUCCAGAGCUGUUGGAGGAGCUGAGAAAAUUCAGAUGGAACAAAAAACCUAAAACUGACAGCAGGAUGGGCAUAUUAUCCUCUGAGUGAGAAUGACAUCCUCAUCCAAUGGAUGUUUCCAGUUACUGGAAACAUUCAGCUGUUUCUGACAACUGUACUUAAUUCUGAAAAUAAUGG